rnacentral:rRNA from 1 species
AUUGAACGCUGGCGGAAUGCUUUACACAUGCAAGUCGAGCGGCAGCGCGGGGCAACCUGGCGGCGAGCGGCGAACGGGUGAGUAAUGCAUCGGAACAUGUCCAUGUCGUGGGGAUAGCCCGGCGAAAGCCGGAUUAAUACCGCAUAAGCCCGAGAGGGGAAAGCCGGGACCGCAAGGCCUGGCGCGAUUGGGUUGGCCGAUGUCCGAUUAGCUAGUUGGCGGGGUAAGAGCCCACCCAAGGCGAUGAUCGGUAGCUGGUCUGAGAGGAUGAUCAGCCACACUGGGACUGAGACACGGCCCAGACUCCUACGGGAGGCAGCAGUGGGGAAUUUUGGAC